rnacentral:pre_miRNA from 1 species
AGCCCAAUUUGAAGAUGAAUUGUCAGUAUAAAUCUUUGAUCCAAUAUACUUUUGAUUAGUAGAUGAGUUUUUUUUGACAAUUAUCAAUUAUAUUAAAGAGUGAUCAAUUAGUAUUGGAACAAAGUUUUAUACUGACAAUUCGAUCUUAAAAAGCAGAAG